GUGGCUGUCCUGUUGGCAGUUGCAACUAAACAUGGCUAAAACUAAGAUCCUGAAUUUAUCUCCCACGCUUUUCUCUCUUCCCUCAUUCUUGAUAAUUUACUAUCCCUUCUGUUGCUUACACACAGAGUCUGAGCACUGAAAACAGAUCAUCGAUGAAAGCCUGGUCCUGAUCCCUGCAGAACUCUAUAGAAACUCCCACAUGCAGUGAUAAUGCUCCAUUGACAACUACUUUCGGAGAUCGAUGGUAAUUACAUUGAAGGUACAGUCUGAUCAGUUGGGAGAACAAGACCACAAGAGACUUCAAAUGGUCAUGCACUGACAGAUGAGACAAUAUAGACUGGAGCAAUAAAAAAUAUUUGCAAAACAAAUGAAAGAUCACAUCUCUCCAUGAUGACCCCUCUGUUGUAAAUAUAGAAAAAGAGGCAAGGGUUAAAGCAUUAUCUAAAAAGCAAUUUGGCAAGAAGAACAUAUGGCCAAGUAGGUAGGUGUUAAACACACAGAGAGAUAAUUGUAAAUUGUCUCAUGCUGCAUCCCUGCUUCUGCCCCUUUGGGCGCCUUUCAUCUCUAUAGGUCAUGUCAGCACCAGCCUUGAGCUGCGAGCAGUGCAGAGUCUUCCCACCACAUGAAGCAUUGGGGAGCAUCCUGCUCUAGGGAGGUAGAAAGGCACUCAGAGGUCACAGGUGUGCAGCGGGGGUGUCAAUUUGUUAGUCUCUAAAAUGCCACAAGUACUCCUGUUCUUUUUGUGUAUACCCACUGAUAUACCCCUUCCCCAAAUUUGGGGUGGUUGGAUCCAGGGUUUUUGGUUUGGGACCAUAUCUAUGCACAGCCACGAUGUAAGAUCCUCCUCUGUUCUGAGGCCUCUGAACAAGCAUUAUAGUGUGGAUUAAAGAUAGAAUGUUCGCUUGGAUCCUACAGUCCCUUGGAUCUGUGAGGAAUUUAGGUCCAAAAAUGUAGCUUCUGUAAA